UGCGUAGGCGGUUGAAUAAGUCAGUGGUGAAAUACCGGGGCUCAACUCCGGAACUGCCAUUGAUACUGUUUAGCUAGAGAGUAGUUGCUGUGGGCGGAAUGUAUGGUGUAGCGGUGAAAUGCUUAGAGAUCAUACAGAACACCGAUUGCGAAGGCAGCUCACAAAACUAUAUCUGACGUUGAGGCACGAAAGCGUGGGGAGCAAACAGGAUUAGAUACCCCCGUA
rnacentral:rRNA from 1 species